rnacentral:rRNA from 1 species
AUUGAACGCUGGCGGCAGGCCUAACACAUGCAAGUCGAACGAGUGGCGGACGGGUGAGUAAUGUCUGGGAAACUGCCUGAUGGAGGGGGAUAACUACUGGAAACGGUAGCUAAUACCGCAUACUAUAAGAUGUGCCCAGAUGGGAUAAGCUUGUUGGUGGGGUAACGGCUCACCAAGACGACGAUCCCUAGCUGGUCUGAGAGGAUGACCAGCCACACUGGACCUGGGACACGGUCCAGACUCCUACGGGGGGCGGCAGUGGGGAAUAUUGGACAAGGGGCGCAAGCCUGAUGCAGCCAUGCGGCGUGUAUGAAGAAGGCCUUCGUGUUUUAAAGUACUUUCAGCGGGAAGGCGGUACCCGCAGAAGAAGCACCGGCUAACUCCGUGCCAGCAGCCGCGGUAAUUC